rnacentral:piRNA from 1 species
UGGUGAAAUUUACAAGGCAGCAGGAUU